rnacentral:lncRNA from 1 species
AUUUUUCUUUUCCUUUUUGUCUUCAAGAAUCAUUCAAUCAAUAAAGUUGAAUUUUUCAUCGUGGAUGGCUUCUCUUCUCCCCCUUCCCCCCUUUUUAUUUUUCUUUCUACAAUGAGACGCGCCUUGACGCUUCUGUCUCUCGAUGGCAGCAUCCUGCCAAGGCACUUCCCCUGCCCCAGGGGAUCCCGCUGAAGUCCACGAUCUAGCGGCUGAAGAAGGAGGUUCUUCAUGCGACAAAAAGGUCGAAGAAGAUGGAAGGCGAGCUUCACAGGUUAAGGGAGGGUUACUCUGAAGCCACCUCAGAGGCCACCCGCUUUUGAAAUCUCCACAUGAAGGGGAUCAUGGAGUACAGCC